GUAGCUAUAGUUUAAUCAAAACAUUAGAUUGUGAAUCUAAUAAUAGAGGUUAUCAACUUCUUAUCUACC
rnacentral:tRNA from 2 species